GAUGAACGCUGGCGGCGUGCCUAAUACAUGCAAGUCGAGCGAACAGACGCUGCUCUUGCUCCUCUGACGUUAGCGGCGGACGUGUGUGUCACACGUGUAUCCCCUCCUUAUCAUACUGGUAUAACUUCGGGACACCGGCUCUAAUACCGUAUAAUCUCUUGCACCGUAUUGUUCAUUAGUGAAAGUCGGCUUUUCUGUCACUUCUCGCUGCAUCCGCGCCGCAUUAGCUAGUUGGUACGUUCACGGCUUUCCACGGCGAGCAUGCGUAGACGACCUGAGAGGGUGAUCGGCCACACGAGAACGGAGACGCGGUCAAGACGACUAAGAGAGGCAGCAGUAGGGAAUGUUCCGCAAUAGGCGAGAGCCUGACGGAGCAACGCCGCGUGAGAGAUGAAGGUCUUCGGAUCGUAAAAAUCUGUUAUGAGGGAAGAACAAAUGUGUAAGUAACUAUGCACGUCUUGACGGUACCUAAUCAGAAAGCCACGGCUAACUACGUG
rnacentral:rRNA from 1 species